GUAGGGUGCAAGCGUUAUCCGGAAUCAUUGGGCGUAAAGAGCUCGUAGGCGGUUCAGCAAGUCGGCUGUGAAAUUCCGAGGGCUCAACCUCGGAACUGCAGUCGAUACUGCUGUGACUCGAGUCCGGUAGAGGAGAAUGGAAUUCCCGGUGUAGCGGUGAAAUGCGCAGAUAUCGGGAGGAACACCAGUAGCGAAGGCGGUUCUCUGGGCCGGCACUGACGCUGAGGAGCGAAAGCGUGGGUAGCAAACAGGAUUAGAUACCCUGGUAGUCCACGCCGUAAACGUUGGAUACUAGGUGUGGGGUUCCGAUCAACGGUCCCCGUGCCGAAGCUAACGCAUUAAGUAUCCCGCCUGGGGAGUACGGCCGCAAAGGCUA
rnacentral:rRNA from 1 species